UCCAAAAUAAGUAAAUCUAUUCCCUUCAUCGAACAUGAAACGGAAGACGGUUGAAAAUAAAAUCAAGCAGACACAAUAUAACAAAUCUACACAGACACAAUAAAAAUUUCCAGCAGUGAUAGUCUUCUUCCUCAGUGCACCUUCAAAUGCAUCUUUUUUGGGGUUAAAUUCCAAGUUGCUAUUUCUGGCUACAUAGAUACAUGCACAUUCUCACACAUAAUUUGAUAUUUUUCUUGUUGUGUUAAUUUUCAUGUAGAAUGAAAGUUGUAAAUUGUUUAUGUUUA